rnacentral:rRNA from 1 species
GACGAACGCUGGCGGCGUGCCUAAUACAUGCAAGUCGAGCGGACGAAUCGAAAGCUUGCUUUUGAUUCGUUAGCGGCGGACGGGUGAGUAACACGUGGGCAACCUGCCCUGUAGACGGGGAUAACACCGAGAAAUCGGUGCUAAUACCGGAUAACACGAAAUGUCGCAUGACGUUUCGUUGAAAGACGGCGCAAGCUGUCGCUACAGGAUGGGCCCGCGGCGCCUUAGCUAGUUGGUGAGGUAACGGCUCACCAAGGCGACGAUGCGUAGCCGACCUGAGAGGGUGAUCGGCCACACCGGGACUGAGACACGGCCCAGACUCCUACGGGAGGCAGCAGUAGGGAAUCUUCCGCAAUGGACGAAAGUCUGACGGAGCAACGCCGCGUGAGCGAAGAAGGCCUUCGGGUCGUAAAGCUCUGUUGUUAGGGAAGAACAAGUAACGCAGUAACUGGCGUUACCGUGACGGUACCUAACGAGAAAGCCACGGCUAACUACGUG